rnacentral:rRNA from 1 species
AACGCGAAGAACCUUACCAGGAUUCGACAUGCCCUCUAUGGAUUCCCGAAAAGGAAUCCUUCACUUCGGGUGGGAGGAGCACAGGUGCUGCAUGGCUGUCGUCAGCUCGUGUCGUGAGAUGUUGGGUUAAGUCCCGCAACGAGCGCAACCCUCGUCCUCUGUUGCUAACAGGUUAGGCUGAGCACUCUGAGGAAACUGCCGGUGAUAAGCCGGAGGAAGGUGGGGAUGACGUCAAGUCAGCAUGGCCCUUACGUCCCGGGCUACACACGUGCUACAAUGGAAGGGACAACGAGUCGCGAACCCGCGAGGGCAAGCUAAUCUCACAAACCCUUUCUCAGUUCGGAUUGAAGGCUGCAACUCGCCUUCAUGAAGUCGGAAUCGCUAGUAACCGUAGAUCAGCUACGCUGCGGUGAAUACGUUCCCGGGCCUUGUACACACCGAUAGC